GUGCACCAUGAAUAACAACCACUGGAUUAAAAUAUAUGUGGAACAUAAUGAUAUGUUAAUUAUGCAGAGUAAAAAAGAAUUGGUUGAUUUGGGCUGGAAUUUUUAAAGAUGACUUCACAGAAGAGAUGUGAUUUGAAUGAAGGUCAGAUACGGACAGAAGAUUCCUGUUGGAUUGAUCUGCAAUUAAUAAUAAAACUGCUGACAAUAAAUACCUGGAAAUGUUCAGAUACCUUCUGCUAUAUCUAUGAGAGCUGGUGAGCCAGUUUACCAGCGCACCAAGUUACAUGCACCUUAGAAGAGACCCAAUGAAAAUGUAAGUCUCUCCAAUUAAGACCAUUGCUUCCUGGGUAAAUAUUUAAAGAAGACACUGCUUAAGAGAGGUGAUAUUUUAUUAGACUGAUUAGGCUCAAAUCUCUUAGUGGCUGUCAGUUAACCUUCCUCUCUCCCUUAGUCUCCCUGUCCUUAAAAUAGAGUAUAAUAAUACUUACUUCACUAUAUUAUUCUGAUGAUUAACUGAGUUCCUUCAAGUGAUACGCUUGAAAAA